UCAGUCUCUGCUCUCAUCAAGGACGUGCCACCAUUUUGUUUCUUAUAUUGGAGCAGGUUUCCAGGAAAGGAAGCAGAGGAGGGAGUGCAGAGUGAGGAGUGCUAAAAAAAAAAAAAAAAAGGGGGGGGGAGAAUAAUAUGUUUUCCUUUUGUGGUUCAUUCAAAUCCAAGUGGAAGCUCAACACUUCCAGCAAGUCUGGAGCUAGGAAAAUGAAAAGCCGAGGCCUGGCUCGACUGUCUCUCCAGAAGCUGCUCUGUGGCAAUGCCUUUAUUUAAUUGUAACAUGUCAGUCUCCCUCUCGGUCUCAUCCCAGAUUUCAUCACUUGUUUUGUUUUGAGACAUUUCAUUGUUUUUCCUUUCCUUCAUAAACUGAGAACUCUGUGCAGCUGAAUCUGCGCGGCAAUCUGGCCCUACCAGAAGAACGGAAGUCCUGAUUCCUAAUAGAGCUCUCCUCGCUCUGCCCACGAAAUCUGAAGCCACCAUGUCAAGUUUCCUCCUGUGUUAAGUGCUGAAGAAAAGACUUGGCUUCCCCAAAUCCAGAUGUGUUCAAGAUGGCGGCACAACUGUUGUCGUAGGUAAUUCUUGACCCUAACAGUUGAGUUUAUGAAUUGAAAGGCAUUUUGUGGACCUGGAGACAGGAAAGUUAGGCCACCCAGUUCCAUAAGGAGCCAGUGUCAUUUCGUGUGAAAUCACUUCAACCAGAAUGGUGCUAGCUUUCACUGAGCUCCUGAUGGACGUGAAUUAAGUUUAGCUAGUCUGGCUACCUCAGAUAAGUAAAUUCCAGAAGCUUUCCAGUUCCUUUCAGAUUUAUGAGAAAUGACAUCAUGCACUCAGAUUCAGGAUUCCUGAGUGAGUCCAACACUAGGAGAAUGGAUACGAUGGAAUGAUAAAACUGGCUAAAAGCUUAAGUAGUCAACGUGGGGAACAAAGAACAUGUGAAAGAGAAAAAAGUCAUUUUUCUCAGUUGCUCACACAAUGACAGGAAUCCAAGCCCCGACCAGCCACAAAACUUGCAGUAAUGGGACCAAAUGGUUAGGCUUGGAAUUCUAGUCUUUUUCAUUUGGGGAGUACACGUAAGAGAUUCCCCCAAUGUGUCAAAGGGGGUAGCUUUUCAUUCUCCUGAAUUUGAAAUGCUUUGGAGAGGAUGUAUCAAUAAUUCACAAACAGAACAAAGUCUUGACUUUCUUUGGCUCUCUCCUCUGAGCCUUGUUAAAUUACUUUUGCUGCCUCUGAGUUAUAAGAUGCUAACCUCGGGGCUGCAUCUUUACCCUGAGUCCGUCUGGCCUGGAAUUUCAUUCCAUUGCUUUCUUUUACCUUUUGGAAAGCACACCAAUGCAUGAAGACAGGAAGACCAAGGGCCAGCAAACCUGCCCUAACUUUCUGACACUGAUGUGGAGUUCAUCACUGAGAACUUAGCGAAGUCUCCAGGGUUUGGUUCCAACAAGCACACCAGCCUAAGGCCCUCAUGGUGGCAUCCCAUUUAAGCUUCCGCCAUGUCCAAUCAGAGAGAGAUCCAUUCCAGGGCUGGCCGUGCCCAGCAGCAUAUGUCACAGCUGCAUCGGUAACAAUGUGAGAUUAUUCUACACACGUGAAAACGUCAAACGAGAAGGUCCUGGAAGCCAAGCCGAAAGGGAAUCUGCCACUGCUGGCUGUGGCUGCAGGGGGCCCCUCCCAAUCCCAGCUGUCUGUCAAACAUCCUAACCAGCCUAUGAAGAAACCCGCUGUGGUGCUAGCUUUCUAGAAGAAUAAUGAGAACGAUUAACCUUUCCUAACCAGGCUUCUAAGCACUGAAAGAACCGCACGAUGGGAAGAAUAAGGGAAACAGAGGAAAAGCUGAGAUCUGCUCUGCCCAACAUGACAGCCACUAGCUAUAUCUGGCUAUCGAGCGCUUGGAAUGUGGCUACUGUGAAUGAGGAAAUGAAUUUUUUUUAAUUUAUUUUAUUAUUUUUAUUUUACUUAUUUAUUUAUUUUGGCUGCGUUGGGUCUUUGUUGCCGCACGCGGGCUUUUCUCUGGUUGCGGUGAGCGGGGGCUACUCUUUGUUGCGGUGUGUGGGCUUCUCACUGUGGUGGCUUCCCUUGUUGUGGAGCACAGGGUCUAGGUGCCCAGGCUUCAGUAGUUGUGGCAUGCGGGCUCAGCAGUUGUGGCUCACAGGCUUAGUUGCUCUGCGGCAUGUGGGAUCUUCCCGGACCAGGGCUCGAACCCAUGUCCCCUGCAUUGGCAGGCGGAUUCUUAACCAGUGCACCACCAGGGAAUCCCCUGAAUUUUUUCUUUCAUUUAAUUUUAACUUGAAUACUCACACUCCAGUUGUAUUGGAAGAACUUGAAUAUGAACCUUCUUUUUCAAUUUUUGUAGAACUUCAUGAAAUCUAAAUACAGAUCAAGUAUUUUGGAUGCAAAUUUAGCAUCUAAAUUGAGAUGUGCUAUACAUGAAAAUACACCCUGGACUCUGGAGACUUAAUACGAAAAAAGGGUGUAAAAAUAUGUCAUCAAUGUUUUGUAUCAAUUUUAUGAUUUGAUUUUCAUAUGAUGUUUUGUUGAUUUUGUAUGCUGAAAUGAUACAGAAUAUUUUAUAAUUAUUGGGUCAAAUAAGAUACAUCAUUAAAAUUAGUUUCACUUGUUUCUUCUGCACUUUUUUAGGCGGCUACUAACAUUUUUAAAAUAUGUAAGUGACUUGAAUUGUAUUUCUAAUGGUCAUCGCUGACUCUGAAUGAAUAAAAUCAAAACAUUCCAAAUCACUGCAUGUAAAAGUAUGGAUUAUAAGUCAAGAAGAAAAUAUGAGUUUUUAAUCAGCUAAAGUGAAUUAACUCACGGUGGUUUGGAGUAAGUUAGCAAAACCCCUCAGUGAGUGGGCCAACUCGGGGGCGCCGGUUCACUAGAGGUUUCCAUGCUAAAGCCGGGCUGGCUGGCGUGUUCUACAACAGUGGUCCUCCAGUCUUGGUCAGGGGACCCCUGGGGGUCUCUGAAAACCUUUCAGGGAAUCUGUAAAGUCAAAACUAUGAUCAUAAUGAUACGAAGACAUUCCUUGCCUUUUCUGCUCUCAUUCUCUCCUGGGUGACAUGUGAUACCAUACCAGCUGGAAUGCAGAAGCAGAUAUGAGAAUCCGGCAGCCUUCUACUAAGCCAGACUUCUAUGCAAGAUAUUUGCAAAAAAAAAGGUAAAAGAAUGUCACUCUUCUCACAUUCGUCUUGGAAAAUAUAAUCAUUUUUCUUCAAAAUAUUUUAUUUAUAAACAUGUAGUACAUAUAAUGUAGAACACGUACUUAUUAUUGUUAAUUUUGGAAUAAACUACCAAGUAAAUCUU